rnacentral:lncRNA from 1 species
CAACUACAGCAGCGACCGCCAGCACACUGGCGUCAUGGGCCUGUUCUACAUCCUUGUCGCCGAGCCGCAGCAGCAGACAGCUCCCGAGCCAGCCCUGUGCUUCAGUUUCCCAGUUCCAUGUCAGUUCCCUAAAAACUUCACCAUGCUUCUCAGUUCUCACUCUUCUUGCAAUCAAGUUUAUUUAGAACAUAACACUGGACUACUACCUUGCUGUCUCUGAUCUGAAAACUGCUAGUAGUUUGCAUGAGAAUCUUAACCCCUUCUUACUUGUUUUCUGAAUUUGCAGGGUGCUUACCGGCAUGGAUGUCCAGCAACAUGUGAAGAGUAGAUCAUCGUCUAUCUUCUUCCCUAAUGUAGUGCAAUACAAUGAACAAGAUUAGCUGGGUUUCUGUCAUAGCUGAUAUACAGCAGCAGUUCAGUGAGUUGCAGGUUGUGUCAUUAUAGGUUUGAUGAACCAUCAGUUUUUCUUGGCCCCUGUAGUGUAGUAAUUACAGUACUACUGUACUAGCAUAUGAAGCUGAGUUGUAUGAGUUCAUCAUUAGCAGAAGCCAGAAGGGAAACCAGUCACCUGAUAGUGCUAGACACAGGCUCUCCAGAACCAAAUGUACUACAAUCUCUCUUGUACAAAUACAUUUGCAGUUUUAUAAUAAUAAUAACUGGUAUAAUUCUGCAGAAAUUCAAGAGAGAUAGAGGAUACUAUAUUAUUCCUACUACGUGCUCUGAAAAUGACACUCAGCCUUAGCAUGCAAGCUUCUACUAACACACCGUCAUCCCACACGUAACCAUCUCACAAUGACGUGAGGAGAAAUGAGACUUGGCACAGUUUUGAGUUUUCUAUGCUGCUUUUUUUUUUUGCUUGAGGGAGAAGAACAAGCAUCAGUACCGAAUAGAGUCAGCGGCCGAGGCAUCUCCACUGGGGAUUCUUCUUCGCGGAGCAGAUCUC